AACGCACAUUGCGCCCUUUGGUAUUCCGAAGGGCAUGCCUGUUCGAGCGUCAUUGCAACCCUCAAGCACUGCUUGGUAUUGGGCCUCGUCCCCGCGACGUGCCCGCAAUUUCGUGGCGGUCCAGUGAGACUUGAAGCGUAGCAAGAUUUAUAUCCCGCUUUGCAAGUCUCUCGCUGCGUGCCGGCCAAACAACCCUUAUAUUUUUCAAUGGUUGACCUCGGAUCAGGUAGGGAUACCCGCUGAACUUAA
rnacentral:misc_RNA from 1 species